rnacentral:lncRNA from 1 species
UUCGGAAAAGUUUUGAAUAAUUCACUCUACCGAUAUACAUAACAAGAACAAAAAAGAAAGAGAGAAGUAACCGAAGAAGAUGAAUGCUUCAGAAGGUCUUCUUUCUAGCAACAGCUUUUCGAGGUUCUCUCUUGGUAGAUGAUGCUGUGAACCCGGGAGCCGAAAACCCAACCGUAGACUGGUAGAUGUCUUUCAACCUUUUUAAAAAAAAAUAAAAGCAUGUCAAUUUAUUUCGCAUUACUCAGUAAUCAUAUACUAAAACCUUACAAAUAAAUUAUAGAUUACCUGGGGAUGCUGAUGAACAGAGCAAUUGCCGCAAUGCCAGUAACCAGUGGCAAUAUAGCUGCAGGAGUCACUUCCUGAAACCACCAUACACAAAUCAAAAUCGCAUUGAGAAAAGGAAGUUUUAAAAUGUGGAAGACUGUUUGUGUGUAUAUUAUAUAGUUUACCUGACUCUGCUGAUCUGCCUCGAUGCUGUACCGAAGUGGACCGACAUGGAUUUGAGCAUUUGUCUCGAAAUCCACUUCGAUGAUCUCUGACACUACUUUAUGGGAGCCUAAAGGACGGUUGGAUUUAAGCUGCACAAGGUGCUUACCUCUGGACAAGCCUUUGACUUGGAAGAAGUUGGAAAGUGGUAGCGGAAAUACAUUCUCUAUUUUAGAUACAUCACUGGCUGAUUUGAUUUCCACUAGCAGGUUAGUGUUUAUUUCUUCGUGCUGUUUUCCUUCUACAUGGCAUGUUAAUAUGGUCGUUUCUGGUUGUUCAAAGACCAAAAAGUCGAGCCCGUGGAUAUCUUCAUAACCAAUCUAUAAGAAGAAGAUGAAGAAAUGUCAGGUAAAAUCUCUGUUGUUGAAACUGCAGGGAUGAUGAGAAUGAAAUGUUAUGGAGAAUCAUAAACAAACCUGAAGAGAAACAGACUCUGGAGAUGCACGUUCGAUAUUAUUCUUGCCUAAACCAUUUCUUUUCGAUACUUUGAUUACAUAUGUUGCACCUGGAUGUAACCCUCUCAGACGGUAAUUUCCAUCAAUAUCACUUGUGGUCUCCUCAUAGUAUCCUUUGGAAUCAGAGCGAGCUUCAAUUGCAACGCCUUCUUGUGGUUGGCCAGAUAGGAGAGCGACUCUACCCAUUGCACUGCAAAGGAAUAGACAAGAUAUAUACAUUGUUACAGAAAAAAAAAAAGAUUUAGCGGAAUGCAAGAGAAUGGUUCAGCAAAAUGGCGGUUUAAGACCAAGAAUCUGAACAUCUUGAAUCAGAAUGUACUGAUAACAAAGAUAAACGAGUUUACAAUCUAAUAGAUGAAUAUUUAAAAUAGAUUAAAACCUGUAGGCAACACGAGUAGCCUCAAAGACAGCUUCACUGGACUCCCCAGAACCCAGUUCUAUUGCCAGUGUUGAGGGCUUGAAAGAAUAUUCCUGACCAAACAUAUGUAAAUUAGAUAACUCAUCUCAGGAAAGAACACAUCAUUUAUGUUUCCGCGUUCUGGCAGUCAUAUGAUUCCAGACAGUGCUUUACUAAGACGAGGGAAUUGGUUAGUUACCUUAAGAAGGGGGCGCAAGUAGAAAUUUCCAGGAAACAAGCUAUCAAAUACAAAGAGUCCACCAGCGCCAGAAAUAGAAUUAUUUCUGUAACCAUGAUCGCCACUCAAUGAUAACAACAAUGGAGGGAUUGAUGUCUCGGCGUUGUCCUUUGAAGAAACACUAAUUAGAGAGUUUAGAGACUGAAUAUUUAUCUGUUAUUAAUGAUCAAUAGAGAUUCCUUUAUAUAAGGAUUACAAGAUAAAGAUAAAUGGAAAGUAUCCAAAACCUAAACCCAAUAGGAUUAAGAAAACUACUAAUACAUAAUAAUAGAAAGAUUACAUCUACUAGGAAAAGGAAAGAGUUUCCUUUUCUCCAAGCUUUGUGGUUGUCUCUCUCUCUCUCCUCUCUCUAGGGCUUCGGUCGUCUCUCCAUCUUCUAGGUAUUGAGCCGGUCUUGGACCGGGCCUGGUUAAUGGCAAUCCACUCCAUGAUUUAUAACAUUUUGUUUGUUUUGCAUUGCGAGUUUUAGCUUAGCAAUGUGUAUAUGUUGUAAUGAAACUAUAUACUUAAUAACCAUUCUUUAUCUAGUUUGAAAGUCGGAUCAAAGAAUAGUUUGAAAAUGUGAGUAUUUACAAAAACUAGUUGAGUUGGUUUUUGGGGUUAAGGGAUGCACAUGGAUCACUCAUUCCCACGUGAUAUCUAAGCUAAAACACGUGCCUUCCUCUGAAUUCUGUCUGACUUUUAUUUGAUUGGUCUCAGUUUUUGUUCAAAACCCGAAGCUUUUGGAUCAAAAAGAGGUCUCUAUCGUAUGAAUUUGAGCCAAACUAGAUGAUUGGUUUGCUGCCCAAGGCAAUAUUCCCUAUUGUUUACUCCAUAUUCGACAUUUAAAAAAGGACCUCUCAUUACACAACUAGGAUUUAACUAUAGUUUAUUGUCUUAAUAUUUGCGCGACUUUGACACUUAUGUGGUUCUUCUAUAUAAAACCCAUGUCUUGAUAAAAGUCUCCAAUAGACAAUGCACCCAUCAUCUUGCAAAGUUCAAACACUUAGUAGUAGCCCUGCGACUUCGGUUUUCCGAAACCGAACCAUCGGUUUUCGGUUAACCGAAAUUUUAAAAACCAUUUCCGAAAGUAACCGAAUUAAAUUUCGGUUCGGUUCGGUUCGGUUUUCGGUUCUAGAGGGAUCUAUCUCUUUGCAUUGGGAACGACGUCGUUUCAGUCAGAUACACAAUGGCGAGGAGGCGCGAGAAACGUUCAUCGGCGACGGAGAGUUCCGACCGGCGGCACACCCGUGACGAGUCAAAACCACGAGAUGGAGAACCAGACUCAGAUCGUCGGCUCAUCACCAUCUUCGUGGUGUUAAGAGGAAGUAAAGUAAAGAAAGAGAGUUUAGGGUUUAGACGAAGAAAGAGUGAGAAACUAAACAUGGGUUCUUGCUAAAUAAAUACUAUGAAUCGCUGACCGGCAUUUACAGGUGGACAAUGUUUUAAUUGGUAAUAGACAAGACGGGUGAUAAAGCUUUAGUACCUUAGGUUUUGACCGGCUCAGCCUUUAGCCGGAGUUCCCAUCGUGUGAACGAGCUUUUCGUGUGUGAAAGACUAAAGGAAUAUACGUUUUGAAUUAUGACACAAAGAUGAUGCUACUACUUACUUUUUUUUUUGUAAACUAAUUUGUUAACUUACUUGGAUUUGUCGCUUUUGAUUUAAGACUAUAUCGCACUCCUUGGUAAAACUGUAUUGUGUAUUUUGUAAGGUUCUUCUAUAAUUGUUACGUAUUGGAUACACUGAAGUACUGAACCAUUGAUGCUAUUUAUGUCAUUAGAAAAUAAUUAAAUUUGCAUUUGUUUCGUUUUAUACCAUCAAUCAAACAGCUGCACUGAUUCUGUAUAAAUAAAAAACAAAUCCUAAAAAUAAGAUUCACAAAACAAAACAAAACAAAAAGUAUUGUUGUGGACCCAAACAAAUCACCGCAAUAUUGAAUAAGAUAGUAACGGGACCAGAUUAAUAUAACCUUUGCAUGUUCCUGAGGUUCCUCUCUUUUAUAGACAGUGGUGAUCCCGAUGAAAAAAGUAAAAGGUAUAGUUUAAUUUUCGUCUUUUUUUUUCGCAAACUUCAAAAUUGUUUUCUAUGUACAAAUGAAUAUAUGGCUUUGUAUUUCUUUUCUUUCUCGAUUUCGUAUAUAUUCUUUUCGCGAAAGGUGAGAAAAUAAUAAAAGGUUACGCAUGGACUGAUUAACGCCGAUUGAUAUGCUUGUAAUGUUAGCUCUGCUUUUGCAUGGUUCCGUGAUCCUGCUCUUCUCACAUUCUUUCACAUGUAAAGUACAUUUUGAAUUCUUAUUUCCGACCGGCAAUGUAAAAGUCAUAUAUGGUUACGAAAAAAAAUCAACAAACAAAUCAACGAUAUAAUUAAGUAAGAACGGAAGAGUCCAAGCGUCGAGUUCUGAACAUCGUUUCUCAGUUGGUAGGCACAAAAUGUUUCACUAUUGGUCCCCACAUUUUUUCAUGGCAAAGUCCAAAGUCAUGUAAAACAUACCAAGUACAUUCUUUUUGGCUACCAUUACUAAAGUUCAUAACCUUGAUCUUGAAUAAAUAACUUAAAAACUGAAAUGGUAAAAAUAAAGAGAAGACUAAAUUACCAGAUGUGAAAAGUGUUUCUCUAGAAUUUGAAACGUGUUGGACUAGAGAGGAGUUUCUGAACUCGGAAAAGUUUUGAACAAUUCACUCUACCGAUAUACAUAACAAGAACAAAAAGAAAGAGAGAUGUAACCGAAGAAGACGAAUAUGCUUCAGAACGUCUUCUUUCUAGCAACAGCUUUUCGAGGUUCUCUCUUGGUAGAUGAUGCUGUGAACCCGGGAGCCGAAAACCCAACCGUAGACUGGUAGAUGUCUUUCAACCUUUUUAAAAAAAAAUAAAAGCAUGUCAAUUUAUUUCGCAUUA